AGAGUUUGAUCAUGGCUCAGAACGAACGCUGGCGGCAGGCUUAACACAUGCAAGUCGAACGCUCAUCUUCGGAUGGGAGUGGCAGACGGGUGAGUAACGCGUGGGAACCUACCUAAUAGUGCGGAAUAGCCUUGGGAAACUGGGAAUAAUACCGCAUACGCCCUUCGGGGGAAAGAUUUUAUCGCUAUUAGAUGGGCCCGCGUUGGAUUAGCUAGUUGGUGAGGUAAUGGCUCACCAAGGCGACGAUCUAUAGCUGGUCUGAGAGGAUGAUCAGCCACACUGGAACUGAGACACGGUCCAGACUCCUACGGGAGGCAGCAGUGGGGAAUAUUGGACAAUGGGCGCAAGCCUGAUCCAGCCAUGCCGCGUGAGUGAUGAAGGCCUUAGGGUUGUAAAGCUCUUUCAAUGGUGAUGAUAAUGACAGUAGCCAUAGAAGAAGCCCCGGCUAACUUCGUGCCAGCAGCCGCGGUAAUACGAAGGGGGCUAGCGUUGUUCGGAUUUACUGGGCGUAAAGCGCACGUAGGCGGAUUGAUUAGUUAGGGGUGAAAUCCCGAGGCUCAACCUCGGAACUGCCUCUAAAACUGUCAAUCUCGAGACCGGAAGAGGUGAGUGGAACUCCUAGUGUAGAGGUGGAAUUCGUAGAUAUUAGGAAGAACACCAGUGGCGAAGGCGGCUCACUGGUCCGGUACUGACGCUGAGGUGCGAAAGCGUGGGGAGCGAACAGGAUUAGAUACCCUGGUAGU
rnacentral:rRNA from 1 species